AGGCCGAUGCCGGGUCCCGGGGAGGGAGCCGGCAGCCCCGGCGGGCCCCACCCAGGAUGCACCUUGCACAGGAGGAAGGGAGAGCGUAGGGAGAGCUCAGCCUGGUGAGGCCGAUACCUGCUCUCCCCGCCAGCCAGCUGCUCACGCCGAUGGGCUGCCUCCUGCCCAGGCCCUGCCCCCGCCUGGGCUCAGCUCCCCUGUAAGGCAGCUGCCUGUGUCUCCAGCAGAGAACCCGGACAGCUGCACCUACGCAGAUCUGACCUUCCCCAGCGCUGGGGCCGGCAGGAGAGGUCCCCAGCCUGCACCCCAGAGCCCCCCAGCGCCAGCAGAAGAGGUCACCUAUUCUGAGCUGAUGCCAUACAGGGGAGCCAGGUGAGCUGUCCAUCCCGGCACCCUCCCAGCUCCGUUCCCUCUGGAGUCACAGCACAAGGCACUGGAGCCUGGAGCAACCCACCUCAGUGCAGCAACACUCAGCAGCCUUGCCCGGGGCUGUGAGCACACGCAGCCACCCUCCCUCCCUGACAUGUUCUGUACCGGACACGGUCCAGCUACAGCGCUUGCGUCAACGCCGGCCGUGCUCAGCAGCAGGUGCUUUGCUCUGCCAGCACUCGCUGAGUAACGUGUGAUACACACCGCUGCCUCGUGGCUGGACAGGACAACGCAGUUCAGCUUCCCCUUCCAGUUCUCCGUUCUCUCGCUUCCCGUGGUUACAGGAUCGCGCUGGGACGGAUCAGUCUGGGAAGCGUCUCUGAAUCGUCCUGGUUCUCGAGUUCCACGACUCGAACACACGGCGGCUCGCUCGUCAGGGGGCCCAUUAGUUACCCUGAGUGGCUGUGGCUGGUUUGGAAUCCUUGAGUCGUCCUGUUCUGCGUCCGCCGUCUGCUGAAUCUGCUGUCAAUGGUUCUUUCUGCGGAACAAACUGCAGCUGUCGCCGGUUCCAGUUGGACUCUGCACUUGGGGCUCAGUCUCUCAUGAGCUGGGCACUGGAUUCUUUGUCUUUACGGCAGCUGGAGCUGCCCAUCCAGUUUGACAUGGACACAGCCACUAGAUGCUGGACCCGGCAGCUCUGUAACCGCACGGUGUGUGCUGUAAAAGCGUUCGAGUUCUUCUAGCCUUUUCAGCCGAUUUGGCUGCUCUCUGCAUGUCUGGUCACUUCAGAGACAGAUCCCACCCCCCACCUCCCCGGAAAAAGCUGGAACAGCAGUUCUGAGUUGUCGUCCUAUCAGGGGUUGUGCUGGGCUGUAUCCAGUAGCUGCUGUUGGUGUUGAUCUGUAACUCAGAGGAGCAAGGAGUGGAUCUUCCUGCUGCAGGAUUUCCUUGGCUGCCUGGACAGCUCUCUCAGCCUCUCCAUUUGCUUGUGGGGAAUGUGGGCUGCUAGUAACAGGAUAAAAUCCUAUUUUGUUCCAAAUGACUUAAAUCCUGCUGCAGUGCACUGUGGCCUGGUGUUCUGGAAUAUCGAAUGAGCACAAGUGCACUUCCAUGUCAGUACCUGUGACACGUUAUGUCUUUCAAGUACAUUAUUUCCAUAUACCUGGAAAAACAGGCCCUAUGACCUGUCAUAAACAGAUAGUUAAGGGUUAAUGCCUCUUUUACCUGUAAAGGGUUAAGAAGUUCACCUAGCCUAGGAA